rnacentral:rRNA from 1 species
UACGUAGGGUGCGAGCGUUGUCCGGAAUUACUGGGCGUAAAGAGCUUAUAGGUGGUUUGUCGCGUUGUUCGUGAAAUCUCACGGCUCAACUGUGAGCGUGCGGGCGAUACGGGCAGACUAGAGUACUGCAGGGGAGACUGGAAUUCCUGGUGUAGCGGUGGAAUGCGCAGAUAUCAGGAGGAACACCGGUGGCGAAGGCGGGUCUCUGGGCAGUAACUGACGCUGAGAAGCGAAAGCGUGGGGAGCGAACAGG